UGAUCGAUCAAAACCCCAUGGACGACUUCAAGCUCUCAAAAACCCUAACUCCUUCAAUUCUACUUCAGAUCAAGAAAGAAAUUCAAUUAGGAUUCAAUCCUAAGCUAGAGUCUUGAUCAAUAACCUUAGGAGAUCAAAAGGUGAUUUGGUAGGAUCAUCAAGUGGGCAAGGCGGAACGGAUACCCGCUUAAAAGGAAAGCUCUAAAGGUACAUAUAGGAACUUGCGGAUGAAGAUCAAGCUAUGUUAUAAAACCGAACGCGCGCAUAAAGAAGCUUCCGUAAAUGAAACUAGAUCUUUUGUCACAAAACAUUUUAUAUGUUGUGUUUCCAUACUUUAGUACCUAUGGUUUGUAUGUUUUAAAAAGGUUAAGUGUGUUGGGUUUGAACAACAUGUUUUGGUAAUGUUUAUAAACGUUUUGUAAGGUUUUGAAACUUAUCUAAAUAUCGUUAACUCGAUGUUUUACUA